rnacentral:rRNA from 1 species
UACGUAGGGCGCAAGCGUUAUCCGCACUUAUUGGUCGUAAAGAGCUCGUAGGCGGUUUGUCGCGUCUGCCGUGAAAGUCCGGGGCUUAACCCCGGAUCUGCGGUGGGUACGGGCAGACUAGAGUGCAGUAGGGGAGACUGGAAUUCCUGGUGUAGCGGUGAAAUGCGCAGAUAUCAGGAGGAACACCGAUGGCGAAGGCAGGUCUCUGGGCUGUAACUGACGCUGAGGAGCGAAAGCAUGGGGAGCGAACAGG